rnacentral:ncRNA from 1 species
AUAAAGUUUUAUUUUAGCUUAAAAAUUUAUUAUUAAUAUAAUUUACAUGCAAAUUUUUGAAAGAAUUUAUAUUUAUUUAAAUAAUAAAUAUAAAAUUAAUAUUCGCAGUAAAUAAUAUUAUUAAUUAAAGAAAUUUAGAAAUAGUAAUAUUAAAUAGUAUUGACUAAAUUUGUGCCAGCAAUCGCGGUUAUACAAAUAAUUUAAAUAAAUAUUUUUAUUAUUAGUUAAUUAUUUUUUAUAAAAAAAAAAUAAAAUUAUAAAAUAUAGGUGAAAUUUUAUUUUAUAAAUUUUUUUUCAAAAAAUUAUUUUAAGCUAAAAAAAUUUUUUAUAAAACUAGAAUUAGAUACUCUAUUAUUUAAAAAGUUAAAUAGGUUAUUAAAGUAGUAUUAGAUUUUUUUUUCUUAAAACUUAAAAAAUUUGGCGGUAUUUUAGUCUUUUCAGAGGAACUUGUUUAAUAAAUGAUACUCCACAAUUUACCUAACUUGAAUUUGUUAAAUUUGUAUAUCGUUGUCAUAAGAAUAUUUUAUUAGAAUAAAAAAUUUCUUAAUUUUUAUUAAAAAUAAUGUCAAAUCAAGGUGCAGUUUAUAUUUAAGUUUAAAAUGAGUUACAAUAAAAUAUAUUUUAUGGAAAAUUUUAUUAUAGAAUAAUUAGAAAUUGGAUUUGAAAGUAAAUUUAAUUAAAGAAAAAUUAAUUGAUUUUAGCUCUAAAAUAUGCACAUAUCGCCCGUCGCUCUCAUUAUUUAUUUUUAAAAAUUGAGAUAAGUCGUAACAUAGUAGAUGUACUGGAAAGUGUAUCUAGAAAAAC